GACGAAGGGGUCAAGCGUUGUUCGGAAUCACUGGGCUUAAAGAGCGCGUAGGCGGAAAGUUAAGUGUUUUGUGAAAUCCCUCGGCUCAACCGAGGAAUUGCAGGGCAUACUGGCUUUCUUGAGGCAAGUAGAGGUGCAUGGAACUCUGGGUGGAGCGGUGAAAUGCGUAGAUAUCCAGAGGAACGCCAGCGGUGAAAACGGUGCACUGGGCUUGUCCUGACGCUGAGGAGCGAAAGCGUGGGGAGCGAACGGGAUUAGAUACCCUCGUA
rnacentral:rRNA from 1 species